rnacentral:rRNA from 1 species
GACGAACGCUGGCGGCGUGCUUAACACAUGCAAGUCGAACGGAAAGGCCUGCUUUCCCUUGUGGAUUGCGGGUACUCGAGUGGCGAACGGGUGAGUAACACGUGAGUGAUCUGCCCCCAACUUGGGUAUAAGCCUGGGAAACUGGGUCUAAUUCCCGAUAGGACUGCAGGGUGGUGCCUUUGGUGGAAAACGAUUUUCUAGUGGUUGGGGAUGAGCUCGCGGCCUAUCAGCUUGUUGGUGGGGUAAUGGCCUACCAAGGCGGGGACGGGUAGCCGGCCUGAGAGGGUGGACGGCCACAUUGGGACUGAGACACGGCCCAGACGCCUACGGGAGGCAGCAGUGGGGAAGAAUGGACAAUGGGCGGAAGCCUGAUGCAGCGACGCCGCGUGGGAGAUGACGGCCUUCGGGUUGUAAACUCCUUUCGACCGCGAGGAAGCCACCUGGUUGGAAGGGUGGUGACGGUAGUGGUAGAAGAAGCACCGGCUAACUACGUG